GCUGUACUCCCUCCGUCCCAAAAUUCUUGUCUUCGAUUUGUCUAAAUACAAAUGUAUCAAGUCACGUUUUAGUAUUAGGUACAUACGUAUCUAGAUAAAUCUAAGACAAGAAUUUUGGGACAGAGGGAGUAUUCC
rnacentral:pre_miRNA from 1 species